rnacentral:lncRNA from 1 species
GAAACUUGUAAGUUUCUUGCUCUCUGACUUUCCCUUUAUUAAAGUUAGAAAAAGGUUAAAUUAUAGAAAAUCUCUCUGUUAAAAUCCGAUUUUUUACUUUUCUCCUCUGAUAUUUAAAAACCUUCACUUUGCCUUUUUGUAAAAUAAAUAAUAUUCACAGGGAAUACGGUGUGAACUGUGAUGAUAAAAUGACCAUUUUAUCCUUCACCAUUUUGUCCCUCACUAUGUUCACAGAAGAAAAGGCUGAGGGCAUUUUGGCAUAAAAAAUAUAUAAUAAUAUUUUAUAAACGGAAUCCUAACGAAUUACUAACGGCAGGGGGCGAAGUGAAUAUUUUUUAUUUUACAAUGGGCAAAGUGUAGGUUUUUAAAUGACAGGGGGGAAGUGAAAAAUUAGGUUUUGACAUGAGGGUUUUAUGUAAUUUAGCCUUAGAAAAAUGUAUGCUAGCUGUCG